AUUGAACGCUGGCGGCAUGCCUUACACAUGCAAGUCGAACGGUAGAGUAGCAAUACUUGAGAGUGGCGAACGGGUGAGUAAUAUAUCGGAACGUGCCCAGUCGUGGGGGAUAACGUAGCGAAAGCUACGCUAAUACCGCAUACGAUCUAUGGAUGAAAGCGGGGGAUCGCAAGACCUCGCGCGAUUGGAGCGGCCGAUAUCAGAUUAGGUAGUUGGUGAGGUAAAGGCUCACCAAGCCAACGAUCUGUAGCUGGUCUGAGAGGACGACCAGCCACACUGGAACUGAGACACGGCCCAGACUCCUACGGGAGGCAGCAGUGGGGAAUUUUGGACAAUGGGCGCAAGCCUGAUCCAGCAAUGCCGCGUGCAGGAUGAAGGCCUCGGUUGUAACGUAGC
rnacentral:rRNA from 1 species